UUGGAGGGCAAGUCUGGUGCCAGCAGCCGCGAUAAUUCCAGCUCCAAUAGCGUAUAUUAAAGUUGUUGCAGUUAAAAAGCACGUAGUUGAACUUCGGAAUUUGUUCAUUGGUCAGGCUCAACUGUCUGUACUGGUGUGACGAAUUUCUAUCUUCUGAGGAAUCUUCAUGCCAUUAAUUUGGUGUGGGGGGGAAUCAGGACUGUUACUUUGAAAAAA
rnacentral:rRNA from 1 species